AUUGAACGCUGGCGGCAGGCUUAACACAUGCAAGUCGAGCGGAGAUGAAGUGCUUGCACCUUAUCUUAGCGGCGGACGGGUGAGUAAUGCUUAGGAAUCUGCCUAUUAGUGGGGGACAACAUUCCGAAAGGAAUGCUAAUACCGCAUACGUCCUACGGGAGAAAGCAGGGGAUCUUCGGACCUUGCGCUAAUAGAUGAGCCUAAGUCGGAUUAGCUAGUUGGUGGGGUAAAGGCCUACCAAGGCGACGAUCUGUAGCGGGUGUGAGAGGAUGAGCCGCCACACUGGGACUGAGACACGACCCAGACUCCGACGGGAGGCAGCAGUGGGGAAUAUUGGACAAUGGGGGGAACCCUGAUCCAGCCAUGCCGCGUGUGUGAAGAAGGCCUUAUGGUUGUAAAGCACUUUAAGCGAGGAGGAGGCUACUGAGACUAAUACUCUUGGAUAGUGGACGUUACUCGCAGAAUAAGCACCGGCUAACUCUGUGCCAGCCGCCGCGGUAA
rnacentral:rRNA from 1 species